rnacentral:rRNA from 1 species
GGUAGCGUAAUCACCUGUUUCUUAAUUAGAGACCUGUAUGAACGGCACCACGAGAGUCAAACUGUCUCCUUUUUCCAGUCAGUGAAACUAAUCCCCCUGUGAAAAAGCAGGGAUUAUUCAACAAGACGAGAAGACCCUUUGGAGCUUAAGACAAAUAAAAUUUUAUGCUUCUUACUAUUUACCUCGCACCACCAAAUUUUAAUAGUCUUCAGUUGGGGCAACUACGGAGUAAAAACAACCCUCCAAGAUGCAAUGGAACUUUCCUAAACAAAAAGCCACAGCUUUAUGUAUCAAUAAACUGACAUUAUUAGACCCAAUACUUUGAUUAACGAACCAAGUUACCCUAGGGAUAACAGCGCAAUCUACUCUAAGAGUCCCUAUCGACGAGUAGGCUUACGACCUCGAUGUUGGAUCAAGGUAUCCCAGUGGCGCAACAGCUACUAAAGGUUCGUUUGUUCAACGAUUAAAACCUCACGUGAUCUGA